CCUACGGGAGGCAGCAGUGGGGAAUUUUGGACAAUGGGGGAAACCCUGAUCCAGCAAUGCCGCGUGAGUGAAGAAGGCCUUCGGGUUGUAAAGCUCUUUUGUCAGGGAAGAAACACCGGCUCUAACACAGUCCGGGAAUGACGGUACCUGAAGAAUAAGCACCGGCUAACUACGUGCCAGCAGCCGCGGUAAUACGUAGGGUGCAAGCGUUAAUCGGAAUUACUGGGCGUAAAGCGUGCGCAGGCGGUUAUACAAGACAGGCGUGAAAUCCCCGGGCUUAACCUGGGAAUGGCGCCUGUGACUGUAUAGCUAGAGUGUGUCAGAGGGGGGUAGAAUUCCACGUGUAGCAGUGAAAUGCGUAGAUAUGUGGAGGAAUACCAAUGGCGAAGGCAGCCCCCUGGGAUAACACUGACGCUCAUGCACGAAAGCGUGGGGAGCAAACAGGAUUAGAUACCCUGGUAGUCCACGCCCUAAACGAUGCUGACUAGUUGUUCGGGAUUUACAUCCUGAGUAACGUAGCUAACGCGUGAAGUCAGCCGCCUGGGGAGUACGGUCGCAAGAUUAAAACCUCAAAUGAAUUGACGG
rnacentral:rRNA from 1 species